CGGACGGCUCAUUAACACGUGGUUAACAUACCCUCAGGUGGGGGAUAACCUUGGGAAACUGAGGAUAAUACCCCAUAGAAAAAGCAGUCUGGAACGAUUCUUUUUCGAAAGCAUAUGCGCCUGAGGAUUGGACUGCGCUCGAUUAGGUAGUUGGUGGGGUAAUGGCCCACCAAGCCUACGAUCGGUACGGGCCUUGAGAGAGGAAGCCCGGAGAUGGGGACUGAGACACGGCCCCAGGCCCUACGGGGCGCAGCAGGCGCGAAACCUCCGCAAUGCACGAAAGUGCGACGGGGGGAUCCCGAGUGCUCAUGCACAGCAUGGGCUUUUAUCAAGUGUAAACAGCUUGAGGAAUAAGGGCUGGGCAAGUUCGGUGCCAGCAGCCGCGGUAACACCGACGGCCCGAGUGGUGGCCACUUUUAUUGGGCCUAAAGCGUCCGUAGCCGGUCCAGUAAGUCCUUGUUUAAAUCCUGCGGCUUAACCGCAGGACUGGCAGGGAUACUGCUGGACUUGGGACCGGGAGAGGACAAGGGUACUUCAGGGGUAGCGGUGAAAUGUGUUGAUCCUUGAAGGACCACCUAUGGCGAAGGCACUUGUCUGGAA
rnacentral:rRNA from 1 species